CCUACGGGAGGCUGCAGUGGGGAAUAUUGCGCAAUGGGGGAAACCCUGACGCAGCAACGCCGCGUGAGUGAAGAAGGCCUUCGGGUUGUAAAGAUCUUUAAUUCGGGACGAAUAAAUGACGGUACCGAAAGAAUAAGCUCCGGCUAACUACGUGCCAGCAGCCGCGGUAAUACGUAGGGAGCGAGCGUUAUCCGGAUUUACUGGGUGUAAAGGGCGCGCAGGCGGGAAAACAAGUUGGGAGUGAAAUCCGGGGGCUCAACCCCCGAACUGCUUUCAAAACUGUUUUUCUUGAGUGAUGGAGAGGCAGGCGGAAUUCCCAGUGUAGCGGUGAAAUGCGUAGAUAUUGGGAGGAACACCAGUGGCGAAGGCGGCCUGCUGGACAUUAACUGACGCUGAGGCGCGAAAGCGUGGGGAGCAAACAGGAUUAGAUACCCCUGUAGUC
rnacentral:rRNA from 1 species